AAAGACUCAAAUUAAUAUAUGCGGCCCAAAGAGCAGUUAAAGAAAUUAAUUAAGAUUAAGAAUUAUCCAAGCUGUUAUACGCAAAAGAAAAUCAAAAACCCAACAGAUCGCCUUAAUAAACUUGAACCUGUCAAAGCUAAGAAACAAACUGGGAUUAGAUACCCCACUAUGCCUAGCCAUAAAUUUUGGACACACCCGCCAGAGCACUACGAGCUACA
rnacentral:rRNA from 1 species